rnacentral:rRNA from 1 species
UACAUAGGUCCCAAGCGUUGUUCGGAUUCAUUGGGCGUAAAGGGUGCGUAGGUGGCGUGGUAAGUCGGGGGUGAAAUCCCGGGGCUCAACCCCGGAACUGCACUCGAUACUGCCGUGCUCGAGUACUGGAGAGGAGACUGGAAUUUACGGUGUAGCAGUGAAAUGCGUAGAUAUCGUAAGGAAGACCGGUGGCGAAGGCUAGUCUCUGGACAGUUACUGACACUGAGGCACGAAGGCCAGGGGAGCAAACGGG